rnacentral:rRNA from 1 species
AAGCCUAAUGCAGCGACGCCGCGUGGGGGAUGACGGCCUUCGAGUUGUAACUCUUUCGCCAGGGACGAAGCGUUAUGUGACGGUACCUGGAUAAGAAGCACCGGCUAACUACGUGCCAGCAGCCGCGGUAAUACGUAGGGUGCGAGCGUUGUCCGGAAUUACUGGGCGUAAAGAGCUCGUAGGUGGUUUGUCGCGUCGUCUGUGAAAUCCCGGGGCUUAACUUCGGGCGUGCAGGCGAUACGGGCAUAACUUGAGUGCUGUAGGGGAGACUGGAAUUCCUGGUGUAGCGGUGAAAUGCGCAGAUAUCAGGAGGAACACCGAUGGCGAAGGCAGGUCUCUGGGCAGUAACUGACGCUGAGGAGCGAAAGCAUGGGUAGCGAACAGGAUUAGAUACCCUGGUAGUCCAUGCCGUAAACGGUGGGCGCUAGGUGUAGGGGGCUUCCACGUCUUCUGUGCCGUAGCUAACGCAUUAAGCGCCCCGCCUGGGGAGUACGGCCGCAAGGCUA